AGUCAGGAGAAGGAGCCUGCAAGGAAGAAUUGCCCAGGGGUGCAGUGACUGCCUGAUAUGAUGCAUACAGGGCUAACAAGGCUCCAGGAGCUCAACAGAGUUGUCGGAUGGCAGAAGCAAGAACACGAGAAGCCUAAGGAGAAGGAUAUGGGGUGACAAAGAGUGAAGACCCACCCUGUUUGCUGAAGGAAAAUAAAGACUAUGGUGUGCUACUUGAAAAAAACCAUGACAGGUCAUGGAGUAUGUACGCAAACUAAAAACUAAGCCAUGGGGACAGGAGCUCUGCUAAAAUGGCUGGAGGGGCUGCAUAAACAGUUCCAGAAAGUCCAAAUCCAGCAGCACCAGUUCCUGACAGAACAGCAGCAGCAAAUGCAGCAGUUCCAGAGAGAACAGCAACAGCAGGAGUUCCUGUAGAAACAACUGGAUAUCAGAUGGAUCCCCAUCUAUGCUGAGGUGGGGCAGAAGAACCCAGACUCAAGAAGAUAUGUGAUCCCAGUCCAAGUUGGGGACACCAUUUCAGACCAGACUAUGGUGUGCUACUGGACAACCCACUGUAUCAAUAUAACACCAUCCUCAAAAAGGGCUCCAGAGGUGAUGCCGGGAACUACAGACCAGCAAGUCUGAGUUGCAUCCCUUGCAAUUUGGUAGAAUCAGCAGUCAUGUGCACAAAUAUGAUCUGCUGGGG